rnacentral:lncRNA from 1 species
CUGAGGAAGUUGGUGCUGAGCACCGAGCCCCGCGACACCGCUCCCUGGGGCCUGCGUGUGCGCCGAGCCCACGCUCUCACACACCGUGUUUAUCUUUCAGAGAUCUGUUUCCAUUUUCGGUAAAGGAAACGAGCAAAAAGAUUUCCAGGGAAGAAUAUUCAAAGGUAUUAGCUAUGGAGAUUUAUGCCCUGCUUACGACAGCCGACAGGGAUUUGGUGAAAUAAGCGUUACAGGAGGAUGCUAGAAGGAAUCUGUAGGUGCUGAGAAAGGUGGCUCUUCAGGACAGAGAUAUAUUUUGUGGGAAUCAUAUACGUAGGCUGGAUUUUGUCCUUCCCUUUACUCAGAAGAGCAGUUACUGAGGCUGAAGAAACAAUAUGCCUCAGGAAAAAGCAAAAGGAGAAGUGGUUGCUUUCUUCCCAACCCUGGCUUUGCAUGGAAGUGCCAUAAAACCAACGGCAGACAAGAGGGUUUAUAUUAAGGAGAUAUAAUUAAAAAGUGCACUCAGUUCUCAGUGCUUAUCUUCGGCCUCUGUGAGUAGCUCACUGUGUGGAGCAAGUAAAAAAAAGCAAGGUAAUUUUUCUUUUUAAUAUUGCAAUAACUCUAAGCACUUUUAAGAGAAAAUCUGCUGACAAUUUUGGGCAGAAAGCAGCAUUUCAAAAUAAAUUAAAA